UAAACUACGAGUUACCCGGGUUCCCGAAGUGAAAACGUGAAACGUGCCGCCUGGGAAGUACGGUCGCAAGGCUGAAACUAAAGGAAUGGCGGGGAGCACCACAACGGGUGGAGCUGCGGUUUAAUUGGACUCAACGCCGGGCAGCUCACCGGAUAGGACAGCGGAAUGAUAGCCGGGCUGAAGACCUUGCUUGACCAGCUGAGAGGAGGUGCAUGGCCGUCGUCAGUUCGUACUGUGAAGCAUCCUGUUUAGUCAGGCAACGAGCGAGACCCACGCCAGGGGGUUGCUAGCAUGUUCUCCGGAAUGAUGAGGACACUGUUGGGACCGCCUCGGGGGGGGGGGAGGAAGGAAUGGGCAACGGUAGGUCAGCAUGCCCCGAAUUAUCCGGGCUACACGCGGGCUACAAUAAACAGGACGAUGGGAAACGGCACUGAAAAGUGUAGUCAAUCUCCUAAACCUGUCCCAAGUUCGGAUUGUGGGCUGCAACUCGCCCACAUGAAGCUGGAAUCCGUAGUAAUCGCGUUUCAAAAUAGGGCGGUGAAUAAGUCCCUG
rnacentral:rRNA from 1 species